UUUACUUUAAGUUUUUUGAGCUUUUUGAGACCUGAAGCCAUGGCUAUCGGGAAGAGACUCUUCAACUUGUUGCAUCCUGUGAUCUCAAGUCGACACAAAUUAGGGAAGCAUGAAGAUUGGAGGUCACUUCCUGACAAUAUCUGAUCCUUUUCAUCAUCAUUAUCCUUAGCAAUGAUUUGCUCCAAUUCCUCACAGUCUGAUAUCUCUAGAAUUUUCAGUUGAAUUAGACUAGCAAUCAUGCUGUUUGUGAAUACAUGUGUCAGUCUCUUACACUCGUUCACCUCCAAAGUAGUCAAAUUGCUCGGCACGAGACCUUUCCAAAUACACCUCAAGUUUGGCAAUAAGUUCAAGUGUAAUGUUUCCAAACUCACGAUUGAAAGUUCAUGCCCACCUCUUCUAUUAGUUAUCAAACAUCCAACUUGCAUUAAAUCUUGUACUCCUUCCAAGUUUUCAAUAGAUAUUUCUUUCAAAUUCAUAAACCUCUACAUCAAAAGAAAACAAGGGUACCAAUUUGUUAGAUGUAAUUCAUAGUAUUUAUUGUGCACUUUUAAAACUAAACGAGAGGCAAGAAAUCAUGUCAAAUAUACAGCACCUCUGAUUGAGCACUCAUUGAACCAUUUGAUGUAGUACCAAAUAUUGUGGUCAGCUUUGGACAUCCAUGCACCUUCAACGUCGACAAACAAGGAAAUAUGAAAUCACAGCAUCCAUGACUGAAGUAGACAAUGCUUGGUAAUUCUUCUAGACUCAGCCACUCCAGAUCAGGGAGCACCAUCUCCUUCUCAACAUUGACAUGUGAAGCAUGAUCACCCUGCCCAAAUACUCCCAAUAAUUGAGAGGAUUCCUUUACUGUAAGUUCUUGGAGCUUUUUGAGACCUGAAGCCAUGGCUAUCGGGAAGAGACUCUUCAACUUGUUGCAUCCUGUGAUCUCAAGUCGACACAAAUUAGGGAAGCAUGAAGAUUGGAGAUCACUUCCUGAAAAUAUCUGAUCCUUUUCAUCAUCAUUAUCCUUAGCAAUGAUUUGCUCCAAUUCCUCACAGUCUGAUAUCAGUAGA
rnacentral:lncRNA from 1 species